ACAGUACUCUUUAGGUUCUCACUAAAAUAAAUUAGUAUGAACUAUAGGGUGAGCAUUCCAUGAAAAUAUGUAGCCAUGCCCCAGUUUAAAGGUCACAUUUCAUCAUUGUAGGUUAUUUAUCCUGUAUAAUAGACAGGGCGGCCUUAUGAGUUAGUUACCUUCCCCCAACGUCAAGUUCUAUCAGAUGCCUACUCCCCAAAUUUCACAAUGCAUUUUGACAUUAAUUAAAACUUUGCAGCAGGAACCUUAUGGGGUUAACUCACAACCCUUCCUGAACCCACAGGGAUGGAAAGAGCACUGGAUGAGGAGUUACGGGUAGCUCCUCAACAAAGGCACACCUCUGGUCUGAGCUUCUGCACAGCAGCACUGGAGGGCACAAUAGAAUAGAUUCAUGUUUUCCAAACUGCAGGUCUCAGCCCAUCAUGGGGAGCAAAACCAAUAUAGUGGAUCAUGAUCAGUGUUUAGUAGAGGCUGGAGGUGGAAUCAAACAUAUCAGAAAAUACUAGAAACAUCUCAUGUAGUAUAGACAAGUAUUAUUCUAUGAAACCAUUAUCUUGGAUAGAUUAUUUUUAUGUCUAUGUCUGUUAUUGGCUUUUAACAUACAAUGUGCUUCUUAAAGGAAGUUGGCCAUAAAGGGUUGUGCAAUGGACUGAAUGUGUCCCUCCACCUCAAUUUCAUUUGUUGAAAUCUUAAGCCUCAGUGUGACAGUAUUAGAAGAUGGGGCCUUUGGGAGGUAACUGGGCUAUGAAGGUGGGGUCCUUAUGAAUGGGGUUAGUGCUCUUAUAAAUGGGACCCCAGAGAGCUCUCUUGUCCUCUCUCCACCAUAUUAAGACACGAUGAGAAAUCAGUAGUCCGCAACCCGGAAGAGGUUCUCUGACCAUGCCAGCACCCUCAUCUCAAACUCCCAGCCUCCAGAACCAUGAGAAAUAAGUUUCUGUUGUUUGCAAGCCACCCAGUCUGUGUUACUUUGUUUUAGCAGCCCGAACUAAAACAGUUUGGUGCAAAGGUUUGAUGCAAGCUUAGCUUAGGCUAAUUUCUAUUAAGUAGUUUCUAUUGGAUUCCACAAUCUUGUUCAUCCUAAAGAUACCUAGAGCAUCGAAGACAGUGCUUUUAGCCUCCAAGUAACUCCAUAAUCAAAAACUGCUUCUCUCCUAUCUAAACAGCAGUCUUGGGUUCCUGUUAGAAUGAGUGAAUUCACCUUGAGGAUUUUGGGCGCUCUAAAAACUUGGUAUUUGCUGUGGGUUAGGAAGGUCCCUAGGAUCACACUGAAGUCUUCCUCCUGUGCCUGUGAGAGCAGCUAACGAGUUAUGACCAUGGCCUGACCAUAUUCCAAGAAACAAAAGCAUCAAAGUAGGAUGCUAUUUGGAAGAACGAGUCCUCAAAUUUUUGCAAGAGUUCCAAAGGCCACUGCCCUGGAGAGCCCCAGGGGCCAGAAUGUGCCUGCUUUCUGAAGGGUGUGGCUGGGGUGAGAGGUAAGGCUCCAGCCAGCCAAUUCUAGGGUCCCUUCCAGCCAUUUCAACUAUUCUGGCUGUGGUAUGGAUGAUGGUGGAAGAGGGCCAGGAUGGACUCAGGAGCCCAGGGAGGUUAUGGUUAGAAUCCUGAAGAGAGAAUAAAAAGCUGGACUAGGAAUCAGCAGAAAUGAUGAGAAGCAUAAGGAUGGAGGAGAUAGCACACAAAAUCAACAGAAAUGGGUGAUGAGUUAGAUGUGAUGGACGAAAGGAUGGAGCCAAGGAUGGCUACCAAAUUUCUGUCUCCUGUGACGUCGAGGCUAGUGGCAUCCAUCACAGAGCUAAGCAAUCCUGUAAGAGGAAGAAGUAUGGAAAGUAAAGGUUAGGAUUCUGGUCUUGGAUAUGAAAAAUUUGAGAUGCCUUUGAGAUAUCCAAGUGCAACAUCAAUGAUGUAACCUAGAGUUCAUAUAGAGCCCUACGUUAGAGAUAUAAAUUUUACAUUCACUUAGGUCUUUUUAAAACUUUUUUUUAAAAGGGGGUUUUGGGUUUUUUUUCAAACCUUUUAAAAAUGCUUUCUUCAAAACUACAUUUAGAGGCACAACUGCAUGAAGCAGAGGAAAGAAUGUGGGCUUUAAAAUCAGAAAAGCCAGAGUUGGAAACAUCCGUUGCUGGCUCUGGGCCAAUGAGCAUGAACCUGGCCUAUUAGGUUUCCAAUACCUCUUCUCUCUGCGAGAAUGCUACAGCCCACUUUAGGAAUAUGGUGAAAAUGAAAAUAAACAGCACUUGAGAAGUGCCUGGAAGAGAGAAAGUCCUCAGCAAAGUGGAGCCAGAAUCAAGUUUGUACUUUUUUAUAUAUUCCACAACACCUGGUACUGUCCUGGCUAAGGGGUCCAUCAAUAUCUAGUCUAUUGAAAUGUCUUGAAAUACUCAGAAAUGUAGGUAAACCACUGUUUCCUCUUCCCUCUUCCUAGACAACCACUAGCUCUUGAAAUCAUUCCUCCACUUAGUAUCCCACUGAAGCAACUCCCAAACAUAAGCCAUACAUGGAGUGUGGCUUACCCCUCUUCACCCAUAUAAUCUGAUCCACCUCUCAGCCCUGGGAGUACCUAUCACUUGGCAGGGCCAGUGACUCUCUGGAGCAUUUUUUUUUUUUUUUUUUUUUUUUUUUGCUUUUUAGGGCU
rnacentral:lncRNA from 1 species